rnacentral:lncRNA from 10 species
CCUGGGUUCAAACGAUUCUCCUGCCUCAGCCUCCCGAGUAGCUGGGAUUACAGGCAUGCUCCACCAUGCCCAGCUAAUUUCGUAUUUUUAGUAGAGACAGGGUUUCUCCAUGUUGGUCAGGCUGGUCUCGAACACCCGACCUCAGGUGAUCUCUCCGCCUCGGCCUCCCGAAGUGCUGGGAUUACAGGCGUGAGCCACUGCGCCUGGCCGCUUGUAUGCUUUUUAAAAUCAAUAAUAAUGGAGAUGAUUUGCCAGCUGUUCAAGGACCCACAGAGACCUACUCUUCAUCAGCAGGCACUGAAGGCACAUUUCACACAUCAUCAUCUGUGUUUGUCUAGGAGAGCCUAGAAAGUCAGAGAUUUUUCUCGACAAAGCAGCCUGGGUUAUUUCAGAGGAGGAACCUGCUGCAUGGAGAAGCAGAAACUUGGGCCCAUCCUCCAAGGCUUCAGCAUUCCAGAGGCCAGAUGUGUGAGCCUGACGUCACCCACCAAGUCGUGGCCCCAUUCCAGGCUGCGCUCCGAUGGAUUGCGACCCCUGUUCCUCCAUGCUGUCUCCUCCUCCCUUUCCUUGGCGUGAAGGAGACUGAGUGGUGCUGGCAGCCACUCCCCAGCAUCUGGCGGAACAUUCUGCCCCAUAGUUGAGCUCUUUUCACUCCCUAGCUUCCCCUAGGGAUGGCUGGUGACUCAUAUUUCCAUUUUCAAUGUGGGGCCAGGAGCCUGAUCUUUCCAUGACCACCAGGACUGGCUAUAUAGCGUCGGAAUCAAGGACAUGAGCUAUGACAUCAGAUAGGCCUGAGUUCAAAUCCUUCUCGACUGCUUGUUGGCUGUGUGAUUUCGGUCAACUAACUCACCCUCUCUGAGCCUCUCUUUCCCCAUUUGGAAAUGCAGGCCACAAUGAUCCACUCUGAUGUCUUCCUUCUUGCAAAAGUCCCUUCCCUUUUGCCUGAAGCUCUGAAAAAUGAACCGUUCCCUCUAUCAGCUUUCUCUUUUAAAUAUUUACCUUUCACAAGCCGAGGAAAGAGGAAGCUGAUAUUAGAUUUUUUGAAAUAGAAUAGUAAUAUUUAUAUGCCAUUUACUGUGUGUAAAGGAUCUAUUAUCAGGUGUUAUUAUUCACCCCAUUUUAUAGGUGAGGAAACUGAGGCCCAGAGAAGUAAAGUAACUUGCCCGAACCAGUAAGUGGCAUGGCUGAAAUUCACACCUAGGCUGUCUGUCUUCAGAGCGCAUGCUCUUAAUCCCGAUAUAGAGAAAUGCAAACGAGAUGAAAUGGGGAAGGCCUUGGCACAGUGCUGGGCCCACAGUGAACUCCAAGUAAGUGUUUGCUGCUAGUACUAUUACUACUAUUACUUCAUCAGCAUGUCAGAGUCUCAUCCUUGCACGCGAGAAGAAGCAGGGCAGGGAUCCCUGCCCUUCUGGCCAAAUCCAGCAGUCAAGAUGCUCUUGAGUUAAAAAGGGCCAAUCGCUCACCCCAAAUGUGGGGGUCCCUUGCAUGCCAAUGGAAUGUUCUUGUCACGUGGCCUGCCAAGGGGGGAUGCUCUCCCUUGUCCUUAGGGUGGAAACAGGAGAGGCCCCAUAGAUGUCAGCAGAUUGUCAGGUGACCGUCCAGCCCAGGCAGCUUGGCUCCAAGAGGCCAGGUUUAACCACUGGGCUCUCUGCUUCCCCGAGAGACCACUCCUAUCAAAAGGUGAAGCUUGUGAUUUGGGCCCUAAAACCAAAAAGCCAAUGAGAUGCUGGUAACAGAAGCCCUACCAGAGACAAAGUAUCCCUUCGUGGUUACAUGUGAAAGGCUGGGCACAGGAGUAUCAGGAAAACACAAACACAAAGAAAGCAGGGCUAGCAAUAUGGAUGGCAGACAAGACAGAAUUUGAGGAGAAAAGCAUGAAAUUGAAGGAUAAGGGGACCUCUUUGUCUCCAUGUGCCACCUCCAACUGGCCUCUCAUUUUUAUUAUCCUUCCUAGACCUCUUCCACCUCAUCCAGUUCUUCUGUGGCCCCUUGGUGGCCAAGGCCCGCCCUCUUCAUGCCCCACGAGAGAUGAGCCAGCCUCCAGGUCUCCCACUGCUGCUUGGUUUCCUUUCUCAGGGGCCUUUGGGAGGUUGAGUUUUUUGUUUUUUUUUUUUUUUUUUGAGACGGAGUCUUGCUCUGUCACCCAGGCUGGAGUACAGUGGUGCCAUCUUGGCUCACCGCAACCUCCACCUCCCGGGUUCAAGCAAUUCUCCCGCCUCAGCCUCCCGAGUAGCUGGACUACAGGCGUGCACCACCAUGCCUGGCUAAUUUUUGUAUUUUUAGUAGAGAUGGGGUUUCACCAUGUUGGCCAGGCUGGACUCGAACUCCUGACCUUGUGAUCCGCCCACCUCAGCUUCCCAAAGUGCUGGGAUUACAGGCGUGAGCCACCGUGCCCAGACGAGGUUGAGAUCUUUACUGCUUGGUCUUCUUUGACCAGACAUGGCUAUUAUCCCCUCUCUCCCCCAGUUUCCAAGGUUCCAACUCUGCCUGUUUUCAGGGCACUAGGGAGCUUGCCUCCCAGAAGGAGUGAGAGCGAGGGUGGACACCCAAAGGCCCUCUGCCUGGCUGGUUGCUCACACAGCUGUCUUUGAGUGAAGCGUCUGGCCCACAGUAGACAUCCAUAAAUGUGUGUUGCCUAAACUCAACUGAACCCUUAGUCUAUAAAUUCUGUUACUUUAACUUGAAAAAAGUGAUGAGGAGGUCUUAUCUGACAGUAUUCAUCCUGAGCUAUAGAGAUCAUUCUAGAAAAUUUCCUACCGAAUGUUUUCAGCUAGAAAAUAAGCUCACUGGAAGCCCCCAAGCCCAUGCCUGUCCCUUACUUCCUUCAUUCAAUGAGCAUUGAUCAAGAUUGCUACCCAGCACUUGAUGUUGUAAGAAAUGCAAAACUGUGUAAGGCUUCAAGCUGCUAACACUAUAGAAAGGACAGGAAGUCCUCCAGCCAUGGGUCGAUGUCUAUGGAACAUCAGCUAUUUGCUCCCAGAUAUUGAUUACUUACAGUGCAACAGGAAACAGAACACUUCGUGGAGCUCAUAGUCUCCAGCGGGGGUUGACAGACAUCAAAACCAAAAUCACAGCCCCAAGCGCAAUCAUCCCAAGCCCCCAUCACAGUACCAGGCACCCCAUGCAAACAGCUGCCUUUCAAGACACUCGCUUCAGAGUUGGGCUCAGCUGGCUAGCACCUCAGCUGCAUCACUUACUUUGUGUGACCUUGAGCAAAAGGUAUAAACUCCCUGAGGCUUAGUUUCAUUUUCUGUAAAAUGUAAAUAAUAAUCACUUUCUUCCUGGGGUCAUGAUAAAAAUGAAAAGCAAUGACCCAAGUAGCUGGCAUAUCAUUAUUAUUAUUAUUAUUAUCAUUAUGAUAAUGACCAUGACAAUAUAAUAAAUACCAGAUGAAUGGCACAGAAAUGGGAGAGGGAGGGAAUACUUCUUCCUGGAGAGAGGAUGGUAUGAGGAUAAUUUUCGGGAGAAGGUGGGUGUUGGUGCUGAGCCCUAAAGGAGGGGUUGGAUUUCUAUACAAGGAAGUGGCGAAGAGUGAAUCAGUUCAAAAGUAGAAAAAUGAAUGAUUCAGAAGGUCAUUAAAAUAAAACAAAUAAAGAAUCUAAACCAAAUGACUGGGUUCCUUAAAAAUAGGACAUUGCAUUGCCAAGCUAAGAAGCAUUAGUCAGGCGGAGGAGGUGGCUACUGGGAAAUUUCACCCAGUUCAGCAUUAUUGAGAAGUUGUGGGUUCCUGAAGCCUUCAGUGGGCGUUGUGCAAUCCUGAGGGGUUAAGGUAACCCAAACCCUGGUCCAGGGAGUGAAAGGGA